AGUGAACGCUGGCGGCGUGCCUAAUACAUGCAAGUCGAACGGAGAUUAAAUAGCUUGCUAUUUAAUCUUAGUGGCGCACGGGUGAGUAAUAUAUAGUUAAUCUGCCCCAUAGUGGAGGACAACAGUUAGAAAUGACUGCUAAUACUCCAUACUCCUUCUUAUCAUAAGUUAAGUCGGGAAAGUUUUUCGCUAUGGGAUGAGACUAUAUCGUAUCAGCUAGUUGGUGAGGUAAUGGCUCACCAAGGCUAUGACGCGUAACUGGUCUGAGAGGAUGAUCAGUCACAUUGGAACUGAGACACGGUCCAAACUCCUACGGGAGGCAGCAGUAGGGAAUAUUGCGCAAUGGGGGAAACCCUGACGCAGCAACGCCGCGUGGAGGAUGACACUUUUCGGAGCGUAAACUCCUUUUGUUAGGGAAGAAUAAUGACGGUACCUAACGAAUAAGCACCGGCUAACUCCGUGCCAGCAGCCGCGGUAAUACGGAGGGUGCAAGCGUUACUCGGAAUCACUGGGCGUAAAGGACGCGUAGGCGGAUUAUCAAGUCUCUUGUGAAAUCUUGUGGCUUAACCACUAAACUGCUUGGGAAACUGAUAAUCUAGAGUAAGGGAGAGGCAGAUGGAAUUCUUGGUGUAGGGGUAAAAUCCGUAGAGAUCAAGAAGAAUACUUAUUGCGAAGGCGAUCUGCUAGAACUUAACUGACGCUAAUGCGUGAAAGCGUGGGGAGCAAACAGG
rnacentral:rRNA from 1 species